UACGAAGGGGGCUAGCGUUGUUCGGAAUCACUGGGCGUAAAGCGCACGUAGGCGGCUUCGCAAGUCAGAGGUGAAAGCCCGGGGCUCAACCCCGGAACUGCCUUUGAGACUGCGUCGCUCGAAUCCGGGAGAGGCGGGUGGAAUUCCGGGUGUAGAGGUGAAAUGCGUAGAUAUUCGGAAGAACACCAGUGGCGAAGGCGGCCCGCUGGACCGGCAUUGACGCUGAGGUGCGAAAGCGUGGGGAGCAAACAGG
rnacentral:rRNA from 1 species